rnacentral:rRNA from 1 species
UACGGAGGGUGCAAACGUUGCUCGGAAUCAUUGGGCGUAAAGCGCACGUAGGCGGCCUGUUAAGUCGGGUGUGAAAUCCCUGGGCUCAACCCAGGAAGUGCACUCGAAACUGGCGGGCGUUGAGUACUGAAGAGGAUCGCGGAAUUCCCGGUGUAGAGGUGAAAUUCGUAGAUAUCGGGAGGAACACCAGUGGCGAAGGCGGCGAUCUGGGCGAGAU